CUCGUCUUCACGUGAUCUGAACAACGGUGCUGCUGCUCAAUUCACGAUGUGUCCUGAAACUGCCCAAUUACCGCUCUGGCGAUUGAAGAAACAACAACAAAGGACACAGCGGCAGCGUUCCCACAGUGCUUAGUGAGGCCGCGGUGGCCGGACCCGGACGGGACGGGACAUCUGAAUGCCUGGAGGAUCGUAGCUGGUUCCUCUUUACAGCACAGCUUCAGCUCAGGAAUGUUGGUCGUCAUUGGUGACGCAAAGGUCGAGACUCAAGCAUCACAAGCCUUCGUCUGAUAAAACUCGGAUCUGUGAUUACGAAGUUGUAUUAAAUGAUGAAUCUCUUG